AGAGUUUGAUCCUGGCUCAGAACGAACGCUGGCGGCAGGCCUAACACAUGCAAGUCGAGCGCCCGCAAGGGAGCGGCAGACGGGUGAGUAACGCGUGGGAACGUGCCCUUUGGUUCGGAAUAUUCCCGGGAAACUGGGAGCAAAACCGGAUAAGCCCUUCGGGGGAAAGUUUACGCCAAAGGAUCGGCCCGCGUUAGAUUAGGUAGUUGGUGGGGUAACGGCCUACCAAGCCUACGAUCUAUAGCUGAUCUGAGAGGAUGAUCAGCCACACUGGGACUGAGACACGGCCCAGACUCCUACGGGAGGCAGCAGUGGGGAAUCUUGGACAAUGGGCGCAAGCCUGAUCCAGCCAUGCCGCGUGGAUGACUGAAGGCCCUAGGGUUGUAAAGUCCUUUCGACGGGGACGAUAAUGACGGUACCCCUAGAAGAAGCCCCGGCUAACUUCGUGCCAGCAGCCGCGGUAAUACGAAGGGGGCUAGCGUUGUUCGGAUUUACUGGGCGUAAAGGGCGCGUAGGCGGAUUUUUAAGUCGGGGGUGAAAUCCCGGAGCUCAACUCCGGAACUGCCUUCGAUACUGAAAGUCUGGAGCACGGUAGAGGUGAGUGGAAUUCCGAGUGUAGCGGUGAAAUGCGUAGA
rnacentral:rRNA from 1 species